AUGCCGCCGCGCCGCCGAGGAGCGUCCGCCUACCGCGGCGUCCGCCUGCGCCCCAACGGCUGCUACACCGCGGAGAUACGCUCUGGCGAACUCCGGCUCGGCCUCGGCACGUACGGGACGGCGCGCGAGGCCGCCCGCGCGUACGACGCGGCGGCGUGGCGCCUAGGCCGGCCGCGCGGCCAGAUGAACUUUCAAGAAAUGUACACGCUCCAGCAAGCGCUCAACCUCGCCCCUCUGCAUCGUCUGAACACGGCGGAAGACCGUGCGGAGCACGCCGAGCGGCAACGCCGCCUCCUCGUCGCCCAAGAGGACGAGCGGGUCAUGGCGGAGUGGCGCCAGCGCCACCCGGAGGACGUCGCCUACGAGUAG
rnacentral:rRNA from 1 species